CCCUUAGAUGUCCUGGGCUGCACGCGCGCUACACUGAUGUGUCCAGUAAGCACCUAACCUCUUCCGAAAGGAACGGGUAACCUUUGCAAAGCACAUCGUGAUGGGGAUAGAUUAUUGCAAUUAUUAGUCUUGAACGAGGAAUUCCUAGUAAGCACAAGUCAUCAGCUUGUGUUGAUUACGUCCCUGCCCUUUGUACACACCGCCCGUCGCUCCUACCGAUUGAAUGUUCCGGUGAGCUCUUCGGACUGCGCGGUCUGCAGUUUCUGCGUUCCGUGCGGAAAGUUGCGCAAACCUUAACAUUUAGAGGAAGGAGAAGUCUUAACA
rnacentral:rRNA from 1 species